UCUAUUAUGAAUUAAGUUUUGGAAACAUCACUAUCUGACAAUGCUUCGUUCGAUUGCUUUGCGGUUGCUGAAAACCCCUCUUGUAAAUGCACAAAGAAGAGGACUCACUCAUGGAGUAGUUCACUACAGACCUCCUGUAAAUAAAGUUACAGUUGGGGAACUCAUGGCUGCUUUUGUCGUGAUGAACAUCUGUGUCUGGGGUCCAGCAUUGACAUUUUGCAAGUUGAGUCGCAAAUACAAACCAGACGAUUGAGCAAAGUUUUAGUUCCAUCCCAUUUUGCUGUUUUUUGAUUUUGUGAUGUCGUAAUACAAAUUAUUGUUUAAGAUUAUU